ensembl:lncRNA
GGGAGGGAGCGAUGCGAUUGGGAAGGAAGGGAAACGAGCCGCUCUGUCUCCAGUCUGUCAGCUGGAGACCACACAGUCAGACCACACAGAGUCUGGGUCGGCCCCGGCCCCUCGCACGCAACACAACCCCGCCGCACACUCGCUGCAGAGGGCACGUUUCAUUACGCGCUCCCGCACUGGUGUUUUCCAUGAAUGUGUGUUUACAUAAAGCACUGAGUGAACUGCAUUUUGUUGAGAUGUACAUUAAAUGAAUUACAGUUCAAAGAGUGUCUAAUGGAUUUCUCAUGAGAAAGCAUGAACAACACGACUUAUUAAUUUGCUCACAAGGUGUUUCAAAAGUACACUUUUAUAGUUUAUUUUUAGUUGUGUUUUCUAUGGAUAUGAUUGUAUUCUAUGUUAAUU